AAGUCGUAACAAGGUAUCUGUAGGUGAACCUGCAGAUGGAUCAUUUCGAUGAAAACCUUUUUUCAGAGGUGUGGCUCGCACCUGUCUAACUAAAUGAGCUACCUUUUUCAACACGGUUGCAUCGGUCGAGUGCCCUGUCAAAAAACGCGAAAGCGUUGAUUUGCAUGCGGGCCUCGACACUUUACAAAAACACUUUUUGAUCUACUAGGAUUUGAAUGACAAUUUACGACUGGUAAUUCGGUCGUUUAAAUUAAAAACAACUUUUGGCAACGGAUCUCUUGGUUCUCC
rnacentral:misc_RNA from 1 species